rnacentral:rRNA from 1 species
AUUGAACGCUGGCGGCAGGCCUAACACAUGCAAGUCGAGCGGCAGCGGGAAAGUAGCUUGCUACUUUUGCCGGCGAGCGGCGGACGGGUGAGUAAUGCCUGGGAAAUUGCCCAGUCGAGGGGGAUAACAGUUGGAAACGACUGCUAAUACCGCAUACGCCCUACGGGGGAAAGCAGGGGACCUUCGGGCCUUGCGCGAUUGGAUAUGCCCAGGUGGGAUUAGCUAGUUGGUGAGGUAAUGGCUCACCAAGGCGACGAUCCCUAGCUGGUCUGAGAGGAUGAUCAGCCACACUGGAACUGAGACACGGUCCAGACUCCUACGGGAGGCAGCAGUGGGGAAUAUUGCACAAUGGGGGAAACCCUGAUGCAGCCAUGCCGCGUGUGUGAAGAAGGCCUUCGGGUUGUAAAGCACUUUCAGCGAGGAGGAAAGGUCAGUAGCUAAUAUCUGCUGACUGUGACGUUACUCGCAGAAGAAGCACCGGCUAACUCCGUGCCAGCAGCCGCCGUAAGAC